rnacentral:rRNA from 1 species
CCUACGGGGCGCAGCAGUAGGGAAUCUUCCACAAUGGACGAAAGUCUGAUGGAGCAACGCCGCGUGAGUGAAGAAGGGUUUCGGCUCGUAAAGCUCUGUUGGGAGUGAAGAAAGAUAGAGGUAGUAACUGGCCUUUAUUUGACGGUAAUUACUUAGAAAGUCACGGCUAACUACGUGCCAGCAGCCGCGGGAAUACGUAGGUGGCAAGCGUUGUCCGGAUUUAUUGGGCGUAAAGCGAGUGCAGGCGGGUUCAUAAAUCUUGGUGGGAA